rnacentral:rRNA from 1 species
UAGUUAUUUCUUUAAACCUAAAGAAUUUGGCGGUGUUUUAUUCUUAUUAGAGGAAUCUGUAUCUUAAUCGAUAAUCCACGGUUGGUUUUACUUAAUUUUGUUUUAGUAUGUAUAUCGUCGUUAUAAGUUUAUAUUAAAAGAUUAAUUUACUUAAUAUUUUAUUUUUUUAUAUUUCAGAUCAAGGUGCAGCUUAUAAUUAAGGGUAAUAUGGGUUACAAUAUUAUUUGAAUAUAUGGAUUUAUAUUUUAAUUGAUAUAAUGAAGGUGGAUUUAAUUGUAAUUUUAUUAAUUAAUAUUUUGAUUUUGGCUCUAAAAUGAGUACACAUCGCCCGUCGCUCUA